rnacentral:rRNA from 1 species
GUCUUUUAGAAAAAAAUUAAAAGUCUAAUCUGCCCAAUGAUAAAAUAAAUGGCCGCAGUAAACUGACUGUGCAAAGGUAGCAUAAUAAUUAGUCUUUUAAUUGAAGGCUUGUAUGAAUGAUUGAAUGAAAAAUUAACUUUAUUAAUAUAAUAAUUAAAACUUAAUUUUUAAGUUAAAAAGCUUAAAUAGAUAAGUUGGACGAGAAGACCCUAUAGAGUUUAAAAAAUAUUUUAUAUAUUUUAUAUUAGUAUUAAUAAUAUAAUUAUAUAUAAUAUUUUUUUUGUUGGGGUGACAUUAUAAAAAAUAUAACUUUUAAUAUAUUAAACAUUUAUUUAUGUAUAAAAAACUGAUCCAAAUAUAUAAAUAUUGAUUAUAAGAAUAAAUUACCUUAGGGAUAACAGCGUAAUUAUUUUUUAGAGUUCACAUUAAUAAAAUAGUUUGCGACCUCGAUGUUGGAUUAAGAAAAUAAUUUAGAGCAAAAUCUAGAUAUUAGGU